rfam:Drosophila pseudoobscura pseudoobscura strain MV2-25 unplaced genomic scaffold Tnknown_singleton_1517, whole genome shotgun sequence.
AAAAAGGCCCUUUUCAGGGCCACAAAAUGUUCUUCCAAAGAAAUU